GAGGAAGGAAACUUCCUGAUUCUAGAUUAAGUGUUGUUGAUUCUUACAUGCAUGUUUAGAUUUGAUAGAUUAAUGAUCUGAUAUGUAUAAAUAUCUUUAUUUUAGCUCAAGAAGCUAACCAGAGUCCAAGUGAUAAAGGCAAAAGACUUGGUUUAUAGAUUGUGCUAGAAUCAUGUGUAAGUCCCUCUGAAAGAUUCAAUUGUAUUGUAAGUAAAGAUAUAUAUAAUGUCUCUUUGGAACUCACUAAUUUCAUAUGAACUUACUCC
rnacentral:lncRNA from 1 species